UUCGGCGCUUACAGCAAGUAAGUUGAAUCAUCUCUGAAGCCUUGAAUUCACAAGUCUGCACAACGCAGCCAACACUAGUCACUUGCUGGAAACUUUAUGUUUAUACCACCGGCAGCCACAAUGCUGACACAUUGCGGUCCACAGAUCAAACACUAGUGGUCUACUUGGUCUAUAUAACAACAUCUACAACUCCCCUAGCGGGGCUGUGCCUUCGGGCGCAAACUUCAGUGAGUUUGUCACUGCUUUUGGCCUCUGAGAGGCUUGUAGAAGGUUCUCUAAUACAAGUUGUGGGUUAGAACUCGAUUCUUUGUGUGGGUGUAUGCCCGGCGACGUCAAUCUGCUCACCUUAGCUCAAUGUCGCUCUGCAAUGCUCCAGCUCUUCUCUAGCUCAAAGUUUCGACAGUACAACCCGCAUCUCAGUCAGGCGGAAGUUCAUGGCCUUUUUGCCGAUCCUAUUGCUUGGCCCGCAAAACCCGUCUUCUCUCCGUAUGCAACCACUCAUGACCACUACUCUCAAGUCCGCUUCAACAACGUCAAAUAUCUGGUUCAUAGGGUGUCUCUCCGGCUGGCGCUUGGGCAUGAUGUAGGUUUAGACUGCUCUCAUGUCCUGCACCUUGGGGAAGCCACGGGAAGGUGAGUCUUCCCUGCACACUGCGAUCUUUGUUUUCUGUGGGGUAAAUGCUAAUGUAUGUUUCAAGGAACAUCAAUCCUCAACACAUUGUGGAGGAGGCAAAUACUAUCAACCAGUCCAGAAAGGCUUGUGCUAUGUUUCUAGAGAAGUGGGAGUGGAUGUGGGAGUUGGGGGCGGUGGGCCACCAUGCUUGGAAUGAUCAUGACAGCUAUAGGGCUAGUUUGCGGUUGCUGCGGGGUGUUUGUGGAUUUAUCCACAAUACACCUUGCACGUGCUGGAAUCCUGCCUGGGGCUCGAAAGAGUUUAUGGAACAGUUUCCGUAGCUUUUGUUUAUGUAUAAACUACAUAUAUGAGUGUAUACAAAUAUAUGUGGUUGCUUAUUUACAUAUUCUCAGCCCCCUUGUGUGACACGUCAUGAUUUUGGCUCUAACAUUCGAGACUGCAGGUCUUGAAGCUUGGCUGUUGUAGAUGUUUUAUAGAACCCACUUUGUAGAUUAAAAUAUGACCGACCUCCUCUAGAAAUAGAGGAGAUACUGUGUUCCGUAGGUGAACCUGCGGAAGGAUCAUUACAGAGUUAGGGUCUUCCAGGCCCGAUCUCCAACCCUUUGUGUACCUACCUUUGUUGCUUUGGCGGGCCCGUUGGGGCGACCCACCGGUGGCCUUUGGCUUCCGAGUGCCCGUCAGAGACCCAUCCAAACCUGUCAAUUGUGUCGUCUGAGUACCAAUUUAAUAAUUAAAACUUUCAACAACGGAUCUCUUGGUUCUGGCAUCGAUGAAGAACGCAGCGAAAUGCGAUAAGUAAUGUGAAUUGCAGAAUUCAGUGAAUCAUCGAAUCUUUGAACGCACAUUGCGCCUCUCGGUAUUCCGGGAGGCAUGCCUGUUCGAGCGUCAUUACACCACUCAAGCUCGGCUUGGUGUUGGGCCCUCGUCCCUCGCGGACGUGCCCGGAAAUCAGUGGCGGCGCAGCCCGGCUUCAAGCGCAUCAGUCGUAACAACGCUUUGGAAGUCCGGGUCUGGGUCUGCCAGACAACCCCAUCAUUUUAUCAUGGUUGACCUCGGAUCAGGUAGGGAUACCCGCUGAACUUAAGCAUAUCAAUAAGCGGAGGAAAAGAAACCAACAGGGAUUGCCUCAGUAACGGCGAGUGAAGCGGCAACAGCUCAAAUUUGAAAUCUGGCCCUUUCAGGGUCCGAGUUGUAAUUUGCAGAGGAUGCUUCGGGUUCGGCUCCGGUCUAAGUUCCUUGGAACAGGACGUCAUAGAGGGUGAGAAUCCCGUAUGUGACCGGUCGCCACGCCCGUGUGAAGCUCCUUCGACGAGUCGAGUUGUUUGGGAAUGCAGCUCAAAAUGGGUGGUAAAUUUCAUCUAAAGCUAAAUAUUGGCCAGAGACCGAUAGCGCACAAGUAGAGUGAUCGAAAGAUGAAAAGCACUUUGGAAAGAGAGUCAAACAGUACGUGAAAUUGUUGAAAGGGAAGCGCUUGCAAUCAGACUUGCCCGCGGGUGAUCAGCCGGUAUUCUUACCGGUGCACUCGCCCGUGGUCAGGCCAGCAUCGGUUCGGGCGGCUGGAUAAAGUCCACCGGAACGUAGCUCCCYYCGGGGAGUGUUAUAGCCGGAGGUGCCAUGCAGCCCGCCCGGACCGAGGACCGCGCU
rnacentral:sRNA from 1 species